rnacentral:rRNA from 1 species
AGCCUACGGGACGCAGCAGUGGGGAAUAUUGCACAAUGGGGGGAACCCUGAUGCAGCGACGCCGCGUGGGUGAAGGAGCACCUCGGUGCGUAAAGCCCUAUCGGCAGGGAAGAAACAGACGGUACCUGACUAAGAAGCCCCGGCUAACUACGUGCCAGCAGCCGCGGUAAUACGGAGGGUGCGAGCGUUAAUCGGAAUCACUGGGCGUAAAGCGCGCGUAGGCGGCUUUUCAAGUCAGGGGUGAAAUCCCACGGCCCAACCGUGGAACUGCCUUUGAAACUGUAGAGCUUGAGUGCCGGAGAGGG